UACGGAGGGUGCAAGCGUUAAUCGGAAUUACUGGGCGUAAAGCGCACGCAGGCGGUUGGAUAAGUUGGAUGUGAAAGACCCGGGCUCAACCUGGGAAUUGCAUUUAAAACUGUCCAGCUAGAGUCCUGUAGAGGGGGGUAGAAUUCCAGGUGUAGCGGUGAAAUGCGUAGAGAGCUGGAGGAAUACCGGUGGCGAAGGCGGCCCCCUGGACAAAGACUGACGCUCAGGUGCGAAAGCGUGGGGAGCAAACAGG
rnacentral:rRNA from 1 species